rnacentral:rRNA from 1 species
GACGGAGGGUGCUAGCGUUGUUCGGAAUUACUGGGCGUAAAGCGUGCGUAGGUGGUGAGUUAAGUCUGUCGUGAAAGCCCCGGGCUCAACCUGGGAAUGGCGAUGGAUACUGGCUCGCUAGAGUGCGGUAGAGGGUGGUGGAAUUCCCGGUGUAGCAGUGAAAUGCGUAGAGAUCGGGAGGAACAUCAGUUGCGAAGGCGGCCACCUGGACCAGCACUGACACUGAGGCACGAAAGCGUGGGGAGCAAACAGG